AAUGGCGGAGGGGCAACACCCGUUCCCAUUCCGAACACGGCCGUUAAGCCCUCCAGCGCCGAUGGUACUGGGCUCGCCCGGGAGAGUAGGACGCUGCCGGAA
rnacentral:rRNA from 1 species